rnacentral:rRNA from 1 species
GGGUGAGUAACACGUGGAUAACCUACCUAUAAGGACUGGGAUAACUUCGGGAAACCGGAGCUAAUACCGGAUAAUAUUUUGAACCGCAUGGUUCAAAAGUGAAAGACGGUCUUGCUGUCACUUAUAGAUGGAUCCGCGCUGCAUUAGCUAGUUGGUAAGGUAACGGCUUACCAAGGCAACGAUGCAUAGCCGACCUGAGAGGGUGAUCGGCCACACUGGAACUGAGACACGGUCCAG